rnacentral:lncRNA from 1 species
CGAGAGAAAGAGAGAACAAAGCUUUGUUGCUUGGUUUGGUUGUGAUAUGUGAACGAGAGAGUGAGAGAUGCUUGAAGGCUUUAUACUACUUGAAAUCUACUUUCAUACAAAGACAACAAAGACAGUCACGAGAACUACAAAGAGAGCAAAGACAAAGUACAAAAGUCCUUACAAGUCCAUGUGACAUAAGAAACAAAGACAUGUGAAACAAAGACAAUGCAGAAACAAAGACAAUGCAUAGACAUGUAAAACAAAGACAAUGC